GAGAUGUGGGUAGUCCGCACGAGCGCACCCUAUCCUUAGUUGCCAGCACAUUAUGGUGGGGACUCUAAGGAGACUGCCUGGGAUAACUAGGAGGAAGGUGGGGAUGAUGUCAAGUCAGUAUGUCCCUUAUGCUCAGGGCUACACACGUGUUACAAUGGUUGGUACAGAGGGUCGCGAAGCCGCAAGGUGGAGCCAAUCCCCCAAAACCAACCCCAGUUCGGAUUGGAGUCUGCAACUCGACUCCAUGAAGCAGGAAUCGCUAGUAAUCGUGGAUCAGAACGCCACGGUGAAUACGUUCCCGGGUCUUGUACACACCGCCCGUCACGCCAUGGAAGUCAGUAGUACCCGAAUCGAGUGGCUCAACCUUCGGGAGGGAGCUCGUUAAGGUAAGAUUGGUAACUGGGGCGAAGUCGUAACAAGGUAGCCGUACCGGAAGGUGCGGCUGGAUCACCUCCUUUU
rnacentral:rRNA from 1 species